AGAAUCAACGCUGGCGGCGUGCCUAACACAUGCAAGUCGAACGAGAAAGUGGAGCAAUCCAUGAGUAAAGUGGCGCACGGGUGAGUAACACGUGACUAACCUACCCUUGAGUGGGGGAUAACCUAGGGAAACCUGGGCUAAUACCGCAUAAUACCUUCGGGUCAAAGGAGCAAUUCGCUUAAGGAGGGGGUCGCGGCCGAUUAGUUAGUUGGCGGGGUAAUGGCCCACCAAGACUGUGAUCGGUAUCCGGCCUGAGAGGGCGCACGGACACACUGGAACUGAAACACGGUCCAGACUCCUACGGGAGGCAGCAGUGGGGAAUUUUCCGCAAUGGGCGAAAGCCUGACGGAGCGACGCCGCGUGUGGGAAGAAGGCCUUCGGGUCGUAAAGCCCUGUUGGUAGGGAUGAGCAAGGACAGUACCUACCGAGGAAGCCCCGGCUAACUACGCGCCAGGCAGCCGC
rnacentral:rRNA from 1 species